CGAGUCUAAAAUUUCCAAAAGGACGCCCAAGGAGUUCUUCAAAAGCGUCUUCGGACGCCCCGUCAUCGUGAAACUCUACUCGGGCGUCACCUAUCACGGAAUCCUGGCGUGCAUGGACGAGUACAUGAACAUCGCCAUCGAGCAAACCCAAGAAUACGUCGACGGACAACUGAAGAACAACUACGCCGACACCUUCAUCCGCGGAAACAACGUCCUGUACAUCAGGGGACAAGAAUAACGCGCGCAUCAAGGAGCAGUAACAGAUUCAAUAAAACACUUUAUUAUUUGUGUCCCCCUUGUC